rnacentral:rRNA from 1 species
UACGUAGGGGGCGAGCGUUGUCCGGAUUCAUUGGGCGUAAAGAGCUCGUAGGCGGCUUGCUAAGUCGGGUGUGAAACCCCCGAGCUCAACUCGGGGUCGCCAUCUGAUACUGGUAUGGCUGGAGUCCGGUAGGGGACCAGCGGAAUUCCUGGUGUAGCGGUGAAAUGCGCAGAGUAUCAGGAGGAACACCGAUGGCGAAGGCAGUGGUCUGGGCCGGUACUGACGCUGAGGAGCGAAAGCGUGGGGAGCGAACAGG